UAUGACUACAGCAGCAUCUUGUAUAUCAAAUAAAUAAAUAAAUAAAAUGUGCAAAACUAGGAAAUAUCUAUGAGCUUGGUCUUGAGAUUCAAUGUAAAAGACUAAAAAUAAUUAGGUGUUCCACCAAGGACAUAGAAGAGAGAUUUCAUAAUAUUUUGUAAAAUAUGUAUUGGUAGCGAUACUGGAGACACUUGAGAUACAUGAUAUAUCCUUGAUAUAAGAUUUCUUGUCUUUAAGGCAUUAUAAUUAAUUUUAAGUAGAAAAUUAAUAUUGUGAAAUAUAUUAAAUUAAAACUUUCCAAGCGUGAAGAGGAUUCAAAUUUUGAGUAAUUCCCUUUUAAGAAUUACUGUCUAAAAUUUAUUGAUACAUAAACAAUAUGAAGUUACACUUGCUAAAAGGGAAAUAACUCUUACUUUACUGAACUAAAGACAUAGAAUAUUGCAAAUUCAGAAAUAAUUGUGAGGUUUUUAUAAAUGCAAAUAAAGUAACUCGGUGAUUAUCGCAAAAAUGAGAACUAGUAUUCUGAUAUCUGAUGCAUGUAUCUGUAAGCAGAUUUUCAU
rnacentral:lncRNA from 1 species